UACGGAGGUUGCAAGCGUUGUUCGGAAUUACUGGGCGUAAAGGGAGCGCAGGCGGCCAAAUCAGUCUGAAGUGAAAUCCCGGAGCUUAACUCCGGACGUGCUUUGGAUACUGUUUGGCUUGAGUUCGCGAGAGGUAAGCGGAAUUCCAGGUGUAGCGGUGAAAUGCGUAGAUAUCUGGAGGAACAUCGGUGGCGAAAGCGGCUUACUGGCGCGAUACUGACGCUGAGGCUCGAAAGCGUGGGGAGCGAACGGG
rnacentral:rRNA from 1 species